UGGGGAAUUUUGGACGAAUUGGGCGAAAGCCUGAUCCAGCAAUGCCGCGUGUGUGAAGAAGGCCUUCGGGUUGUAAAGCACUUUUGUCCGGAAAGAAAUCCUUGGCUCUAAUACAGUCGGGGGAUGACGGUACCGGAAGAAUAAGCACCGGCUAACUACGUGCCAGCAGCCGCGGUAAUACGUAGGGUGCAAGCGUUAAUCGGAAUUACUGGGCGUAAAGCGUGCGCAGGCGGUUUGCUAAGACCGAUAUGAAAUCCCCGGGCUCAACCUGGGAACUGCAUUGGUGACUGGCAGGGCUAGAGUAUGGGCAGAGGGGGGUGAGAAUUCCACGUGUAGCAGUGAAAUGCGUAGAGAUGUGGAGGAAUACCGAUGGCGAAGGCAGCCCCCUGGCAAGUACUGACGCUCAUGCACG
rnacentral:rRNA from 1 species